rnacentral:rRNA from 1 species
UACGUAGGGGGCAAGCGUUGUCCGGAUUUAUUGGGCGUAAAGAGCGUGUAGGCGGCUAGGUAGGUCCGUUGUGAAAACUCGAGGCUCAACCUCGAGACGCCGAUGGAAACCAUCUAGCUAGAGUCCGGAAGAGGAGAGUGGAAUUCCUGGUGUAGCGGUGAAAUGCGCAGAUAUCAGGAGGAACACCAAUGGCGAAGGCAGCACUCUGGGACGUGACUGACGCUGAGACGCGAAAGCGUGGGGAGCAAACAGG